GGCAAGUAGGCGGCCAAUUAAGUGAGGGGUGAAAUCUUCCGACUCAAUCGGAAAAUUGCCUUUCAUACUGAUCGGCUUGAGGUCAGAAGAGGGAAACGGAAUUAGCAGUGUAAGGGUGAAAUCUGUAGAUAUUGCUAAGAACACCAGCGGCGAAGGCGGUUUCCUGGUCUAGACCUGACGCUGAAUUGCGAAAGCUAGGGGAGCAAACAGAAUUAGAUACUCUGGUAGUCCUAGCCGUAAACGAUGAGCACUAGGUGUUGGCCCUUCUAGGGUCAGUGCCGCAGCUAACGCAUUAAGUGCUCCACCUGGGGACUACGGCCGCAAGGCUAAAACUCAAAGGAAUUGACGGGGACCCGCACAAGCGGUGGAACAUGUGGUUUAAUUCGAUGCUACGCGAAGAACCUCACCAAGGCUUGACAUACAGGAAGUAGUGAACUGAAAGGGGAACCACCCGUUAAGUCGGGAGCCUGUACAGGUGCUGCAUGGCUGUCGUCAGCUCGUGUCGUGAGAUGUUGGGUUAAGUCCCGCAACGAGCGCAACCAUUGCCCCAUGUUGCAACCUCCACUUACUUCGUAAGAAGUGGUGGGGCGCACUCUUGGGGGACUGCACCGGGAUAANCCGGGAGGAAGGUGGAGAUGACGUCAAGUCAGUACGGCCCUUAUGCCUUGGGCUGCACACGUGUUACAAUGGCUGGUAUAAAGGGUUGCCAACCCGCGAGGGGGAGCUAAUCUCAAAAAACCAGCCUCAGUUCGGAUUGGAGUCUGCAAUUCGACUCCAUGAAGCCGGAAUC
rnacentral:rRNA from 1 species